UACGUAGGGUGCAAGCGUUGUCCGGAAUUAUUGGGCGUAAAGAGCUUGUAGGCGGUUUGUCGCGUCUGCUGUGAAAUUUCGGGGCUCAACCCCGAACUUGCAGUGGGUACGGGCAGACUAGAGUGUGGUAGGGGAGACUGGAAUUCCUGGUGUAGCGGUGAAAUGCGCAGAUAUCAGGAGGAAUACCGGUGGCGAAGGCGGCAUCCUGGACCAUUACUGACGCUGAGGCGCGAAAGCUAGGGGAGCAAACGGG
rnacentral:rRNA from 1 species